CUGAGGAUGGGUCUGCGGCCGAUUAGGUAGUUGCUGGGGUAACGUCCCAACAAGCCAAUAAUCGGUACGGGUUGUGAGAGCAAGAGCCCGGAGAUGGAUUCUGAGACACGAAUCCAGGCCCUACGGGGCGCAGCAGGCGCGAAAACUUUACACUGCGCGAAAGCGCGAUAAGGGGACCUCGAGUGCGUGCGCAAUGCGUACGCUUUUCAGAUGCCUAAAAAGCAUGUGGAAUAAGGGCCGGGCAAGACCGGUGCCAGCCGCCGCGGUAACACCGGCGGCUCAAGUGGUGGCCGCUAUUAUUGGGCUUAAAGGGUCCGUAGCCGGACCAGUUAGUCCCUUGGGAAAUCUUACGGCAUAACCGUAAGGCUGCCAAUGGAUACUGCUGGUCUUGGGACCGGGAGAGGUAAGAGGUACUUCAGGGGUAGGAGUGAAAUCCUGUAAUCCUUGAGGGACCGCCAGUGGCGAAGGCGUCUUACUAGAACGGGUCCGACGGUGAGGGACGAAAGCUAGGGGCACGAACCGGAUUAGAUACCCGGGUAGUCCUAGCCGUAAACGAUGCGAGCUAGGUGUCACGUGGAUUGCGAAUCCAUGUGGUGCCGAAGGGAAACCGUGAAGCUCGCCGCCCGGGAAGUACGGCCGCAAGGCUGAAACUUAAAGGAAUUGGCGGGGGAG
rnacentral:rRNA from 1 species